rnacentral:sRNA from 1 species
AUUUUUUGAAUUUAUUCAACACUUAUUAAUCCACAUAUAUAUUUUUGAGUUUUCAACACUUCCAUUGCAAACAUUAAACAGUUGAAUCUUUUAUUCAACAUGUCCAUUGUACAUAGUCUUAGCCUAUCUACGAUGGUUACCCAUUUAGGCUAUGUGCAAUGUCAAAUUUAUUCAACACGCGUGUUACUAAACAGCUGUAAUUCAUAACCCUUCAAUUUCCUGCAUAUCAUGGGUUACUUAUUUUUAUCAUCUUAAGCAACAAAGAGAUAUCAAAUGUGCAAAUAUAUUGGUCUCACAUUUGCCAAGACCGCCAGAACUAACUGUCUGCGUAGUAGACUCAGGACAUGAAUGUGGGUUCUAACUAAAGUGCAGGAAUAAAAGUAGAGAAGGAAAGCGUCGAGAAGUCAAUAAAAUUAGAAUAAUAGAUUUAAGAAUAUGAUUAAAAAAAUAAUAAUUUGUGAAAUAACUUAAAAAGGAAACUGAGAGGAUGUGGAAAAUUUCAUACAAGGAGAGUUUCCCUUUAUUAAUUUCGUGCACAUUAAGAUUUGUACGUAAAUAAAUAAUAUGAACGAUUUUUUAAUGAAUAAAAUAUUAUGAUUGCCUACAGCUUCUCUAAAGAAAGGUGCAUCCUUCUUUUUCACUUUUUAACGCUCCACGUCAUCUUCUUUUUCUUCCACAUCAUCAUUCAAUACCCAAACAAUUUUUAAGCACUUACAAUGGUUUGGUUUAAUAAAAUUCAACACUCUAGCCUACAAUUAUUAUUUUAUAAUUUAUAUUUUUGCUUAUAUAUUUAUACUUUUGUGAUUGCAUAUUAAUAAUAGUUAUUCAUAAUUGAAGUUA